rnacentral:rRNA from 1 species
CAGCAGCCACGGUAACACGUAGGUGGCAAGCGUUGUCCGGAAUUAUUGGGCGUAAAGGGCUCGCAGGCGGUUUCUUAAGUCUGAUGUGAAAGCCCCCGGCUCAACCGGGGAGGGUCAUUGGAAACUGGGAAACUUGAGUGCAGAAGAGGAGAGUGGAAUUCCACGUGUAGCGGUGAAAUGCGUAGAGAUGUGGAGGAACACCAGUGGCGAAGGCGACUCUCUGGUCUGUAACUGACGCUGAGGAGCGAAAGCGUGGGGAGCGAACAGGAUUAGAUACCCCCGUAGUCCCUGUCUCUUAUAC